AUGCCAAUCGAUAUGCAGAUAUUCGCACUUAGAGAUGGGCGACAGCUAUCAGUGAUCGACCAUUCCUAAAAAAAAUGGCUGACUUGGCGAUUGCUGUUGAUGGCUUUUUCGAAAAUGUAUUUUUUAACUGUAAAGAUAUGGCAAAACGGUGGCUAAAGUGUCACAUGCUCCUCGGACAUUUGGACAUUACAUCGCUCGCGCGCUGCUCUGACAAAUGUAACCCCAAACAAAAGCACAUUAAUUAGCCGUACGUGUCCAUGCAUUACUGAAGUAUUUGUUGUCGUUGGUGGUGUUGGGGCACCAUAAUAGCUCUUCUGCUUCUGCUGCUGCUGCUGCUCCUCUUGUGUUGUGUGUCAAAACGAAUGAAUGCCAGAACAAAACCCAAACAUACAUAAAGCUUCAGGAUGAAUGGCCUCUUGGAGCAUACCGGAACCAGCGAGAAAGUUAAAUUGCAGAAAUCGCAAAACUUUAAUAUCCCCCAAGUCCAAAGACCAAAGUCGUGGCGAAAGUCAAAGUAAUGGAAUUGUGUAAUUAACGAGACUCUGGGGAGAAAGACCCGAUGAAACGUUCCAGCUGCUGCGGACUUUUGCUAUAACUUGAAGAUGUCUCCACCACAUCCACAUCCUUCGGACGCAGGAUGGAGUGCAAUAGAUGAAGUGCAACGACGCCCAGCAGAGGACGGAGGAGCCUGGGGGCUGGUUCCAACACCGAUUCAGAACUUAUAGGAGCAGCAUCUCCUCCGAUAUUUAUCAGAUGAAUAUUAAUUAGAAUGAUUAUGUAUUUACAUGUGUGGUCGCUUGAGAAUUGCACAUUUCUCAAGCCAAUUGUUGCUGCUUGAAAGUUUACUGAUGUUUAGCUUGGAUUGGAACACAUUUUUGAAGGAUAUUGAGAACGAGCUACCACCGAUCAAUCAGUUAGAUCCAAGUCUGAUAGAAUGAAUCAGCAUAAUCACAAUAUAAAGAUUUAAUUGGAAGUUAUCUUCCAAUACAGGCCAACAGCCUGUAGCUUUAGAUUUUAACUUUAAGUUCACAGAACAAAAACAAAAUUUAAAUACAUAUGCCUCUACUCUGAUGGAUAGAUACAUUUCAAUAAGAGUCCUUCCUGAAUCUACAGAAAAAAUUCAGAUAUAUUUGCAAUGCCUUUUACGGGAAUGUCUGGUUCUAAAAAAUAUCUGCCAUUUAUGUAUUGAACAUUGCAAGCGCAUAAAUGAUAGAUUCAUGGUGGGUUCUAAAAAAAAACAUUUAUCCUACGGCAAACAUCACAUAUUUUUUUAAAGCUU
rnacentral:sRNA from 1 species